CGAGACCUCGUCAUCGUUCGGUCACUUAAUACAGUUUUCUUUGUCUAAAACACUCCCGCGCACUGCUGUGCGAGUACGCAUAUUUUUUGCCAUUGAGAAAGGUCGCAUACCCAGGCAUGUGUCCUGCCCUGACGGUGCCUCAAACGAACUAAUGGAGUGAGUCUCCUGAUCGAGUCCGCUGGGCGGACAUCCUCGGGCGUGAUGUUUGGUAAUGCGUAUGCAGUUGAAUAAUUGGCCUAUACCCCGUUUGUUUAGGUAGUUUUAAGUUGGUUUAGUUAUUGUCCCCCCCGUCUAUUAAGUUUGUGCGUCCGUCUCGGUGUAGUAAUCCCCGCGUUCCUCGUCCUGUGUGCAAUAGGCAAACUCCCCCCCCCGCAUUUUGUUUCUUUUUUUUUUUUGUUUUCCUUUUUAGGCACUCGGCUCCACGAGUGUGUGCGUAUUUAAAAAUGCUAUUUAAUAUCGAUCGAUUUCUGCAUCUCGCGAUCCGUGUUCGGACGCACCCCGCCGGUUAACCCGUUGGGCCACCGUAACCACGGACCAAUCAAUCUAGAAUAAAAGCUUUCAGCUACUCUUCCCGGUUGUGUAAUAUGUGUGAUUUGGCAAACAUCACAUCCCUGCUGGGGUUUCCAAAAAUGUAUACUUCGUGUUCACGAAAUUCCACGUAGAGGUCCGUCUCUGAAUAUAUAUAUAUAUAUAUCGAUCUACGCGCACGUGAAUGUGAGUUCAUUAUUUUUAAUAACCAGUAGUAAGUCCCGGCCUGCCACGCCUCCAUUACAUCCAUACGUGCGUCUGGACUACGAGUGUUAAGAAUGGUUGACGCCCCACUCACCCCAUAUAUAUAUAUAUAUAUAUAUUUAAUAUAUGUCUAUCAUUUUAUGUAUACACACCGACGUGUAACCUAACAUUUUAUCAUUUUUCUACCUUUAACACUUAAUUUUUCAAAAAUAUUAUCUAGAUUCAAAUUUUCUUUGUUUAAUAGCUGAAUUAUUACAACUAACAAUGUUCAUAUCAGAAUUAUUAGUUAAAUCAGUUUCUUUUGAAACAUUAAUAGUUANAUUUUCAGCGAUAUUUUUACUAGAAUUAGUUGAAGUUCCUACUAUUUAAUAUUAGUAAAUGAUUUUCAGAUUAAAUCCAAAUUACAUUAUUUUAUUUAAAUAAAGUAAAACCUCUAUUUAACAAACUUUUUUUAAAGUUCUUUAAAAAAAAAUUGUGAAAUUGAAAUUUUGUUAAAAAGAAAUAAUACCUUUUUUAAUUUAUAAAACUCAUUUUUAGUGUACAAAAUGCAUUUAAAUAAUAAUAUUAUAUAAUAUUUAAUUUGGUAAAUCAAUAAAUAAUAUAACAAAAUUGGUCUAAAAUACAAUAAGUACCAAAUUACAUUAUUAAUAAUGUUAUCGGUUAACUAUUUGUGAUUAAAGAAUAAUAAACAUAUAUUUUUCUGAGUUUGUUUCUAUUACACCUUUAGUUCUUUUUUGGCUCUUUUGACGAAAUAUCCUGUAUUCCUGUUACUGAACAACUUUUAUACCAUUCUGACUAUAAAAAUACUCGCACCUAUUUAAAUAAGUCUGAUUGAUAAGUGAGUACCUACUUAAUAAAUAUAAAACAAAAGUUUUUAAAUUUGUUAUAGAAAAUUAAUUCAUUAAAAAGAAAUUUUUUUUUUGAUAAAUAGAAACAUUUUUGAAUAAAAAUUUAUGAUUUCACAAAACAUUUGUUAUAUAAAGUUUCGUUAAUAGAACUUUGUUAAAGAGAGGUACCAUUAUUUGAGCUUACAAUAAGGUAAUGUAUACCAUUUGCUUUUAUUAAAAAUUUAUCCAUUGUUAAAGUUCGUGGUAUAAAACGUAAAAAUAAAAAAAAAACUAUUACUAAACACUUAACUAGUAAACUAUAAGGAGUAUAAGGAAAUAUUUAGGUAAUACCCUGUGAUAGCGUUAAAGUUGAUAGUGCGACUGUAUAGACGUACAAAAAUUGGCAGUGACUAAAAUAUAUUCUAUAGUGUUUGGUUAGUAAAAUUAGUAUUAUCUACUAGCUAGUAUUAUAGCAGUGUUGCAUGCGGGUUAUUCUUAGAUAGUAGAUAAAUACUAAAAAAAAAAAUUUUUGUAUUUUUUUUAUAUAGUAUACUACCACAAUCGUUCAUUACCGACCAAGCCGAUAAAAAAAAAAAUUGCACAAAAUAUUGGUUACUGUGUACUAAUCUAAAUACUAAUUAUUCUAAGGCAGUGGUACUAACUGUGUGAUAGUGUAGAAUAUAGAUAGUAAUUAAAAUGUAGUUUGAUAGAAAACCAUUAAAAAAAAAAGAUAUGAAGCUAUAAAAUCAUACAAAAUAUUAUAAAGGUUUAAUUUGAAUAAUACACUCUUUUAGGGGCGGUGUUGAUGAUAACCACUACAGGUAUGGUUUCCCAGCCGCGACCUGUGCAAUGCCACAAAAAUUUGUCGCUGGGAUAGGUGAUAGUACUGGUCUGAGAGCAAUAUAAAAGUUUAUCCUGUAUAACAAAAUUUUCAUCAGCAGAGAAAGAACUCCCUAUUGAGGAAAUUAGAAAAAAUUAAUCAAUUUAUGCUCUUACUCAUUAAAAAUAUAAAGACAACAUUCAUAAGUCUUCUAUUUUUCUAUCCAGAAAUAAGCUGUCUAUUUUUGUUUCUUUUUAUCAUGUGUAAUUAAUAAUUCAUCUUCCUCUUCCUCAAAUAAAAGUAAAAUAAUUGUAUUAUUAUUUAUAACAAUCAUAUCCAAAUCUUAACUUGAAAAACAAAAAUACAAACAUUUUCAAAAUACAAAUAGUUAAAAGAUACUGCAGAAUACGGCUAUAAUUUAUCACUGUCCUGUCUAGGAAACUAGUCAGACCAUAAUAGGUCACACCUAGGAAACCGUACCUUUAAGGAACAGACAUUGUUUUCAUAAAUAGACUUACAAUUAAGAGUUGUUCAUAUAUCUGCACUGGGUUACAAUUAUUUUAAGUUAAAAUAGUGACUAAUAUAUCAGUAAUUAUAAUAAAUAAAUAUUCAAUUAGAUACCUACUUGCCUAUAUAGUUAUAUUUUAUAAGUUGAAUGAAACUGUCAUUUAUUAAACUACAUUUAAAUUUUUAGAUGUAGCUACAGAAAAGACCUAAAAAACCAUCAUUGAAGCGCUCAUUGACAACAAGUCCGUGCGAAAAAUGACCGCGACUUGCUAUCGCAACAUAUUUUUUCUGAUGUGUUUUACUAAACCCAACAUGUCACUUAGAAAAUGAUCNGAAAUUGUCAUUUAUUAAACUUCAUUUAAAUUUUUAGAUGUAGCUACAGAAAAGACCUAAAAAACUAUCAUUGAAGCGCUCAUUGACAACAAGUCCCUGCGACCAAUGGCCGCGACUUGCUAUCGCAACAUAUUUUUUCUGAUGUGUUUUACUUAACCCAACAUGUCACUUAGAAAAUGAUCAACAAAAAUUGGUGCAUAAAAGAUUAUUCUGCUAGUAACAAAUGGAAUUUUAUUCAUCACUAAGUGAGUGUAUUUAUUUUAGCUGUAACAAGUGCACACUGAAUAAUAAUAAAUGUCUAUUAAUCUGUUAAUUACAUAGUAUUAUAAUUUCAUAAUACCAUGUACACGAAUAUAUAAAUAAGUAAAAUUUAAGGAUAAAUGCAAAAUAAAAACUUGACAAUUUAAUUUUGCCAAAUUUAAUACACAAAAUUCCAUUCCAUUUUGCACAGAUUUCCGAAUGUCAUAUUAACAUUAACUUAAAUUUUUGGAACUAGUUUAAUAGAAUGUAAUAAACAUGCAAUGGCUAACUGAAUAUUAUUUUGAUUUUUAUUAUAAACCAUUUAAUGCACUGUACUUAGUUUUAUUAUUAAUUUAAAUUAUUUUUUUUUCGCUCAUUAGCAAAUGUUCAGUUUAAAUUUAUUGUUCCUCAACAUUCAAUUAUUAUUGUACACUAUGUGUUAUAUUAUAAAUAUUACAAAAGACUCAGUAGUUUAGUAAUUAUUAUCAUUUAAAUUCAUAGUGCAAUAUUGUGGUCAUUAGAUUAUUACAUUUACUUACAACAUAAAAAAAUAAAAGUAAUCCUUUUUCUUAUAAUUUUCAAUUUUCUGUUCUUUAGGAAGACAAUUCAGUGCCAUCCAACAACAGCAGAAUAAAAAUGCCACCUAUUCNUAUGUCUUCAGAGUUCAACAAUAGAUGUCUUUUUAGUGAAGCUCUGUAAUCAUGAGGGUUG